rnacentral:rRNA from 1 species
AUUGAACGCUGGCGGCGUGCCUAACACAUGCAAGUCGAGCGGUAACAGGUGUAGCAAUACAUGCUGACGAGCGGCGAACGGGUGAGUAAUGCUUCGGAAUCUACCCAAUGGCGGGGAUAACCAGCCGAAAGGUUGGCUAAUACCGCAUACGUCCCACGGGAGAAAGCAGGGAUCGCAAGACCUUGCGCCAAUGGAUGAGCCGAAGUCGGAUUAGCUAGNGGUAGGGUAACGGCCUACCAAGGCGACGAUCCGUAGCUGGUCUGAGAGGACGACCAGCCACACUGGGACUGAGACACGGCCCAGACUCCUACGGGAGGCAGCAGUGGGGAAUAUUGGACAAUGGGGGAAACCCUGAUCCAGCGACGCCGCGUGUGUGAAGAAGGCCUGCGGGUU